CGCAAGGCCCAGCUGCAAUUAAAUAAGCCUCGGCCCAAAGAAAUAAAAUAAUAAGGCCGAUAUUAAAAUAAGGUCUGUUGGGCUCAAAUAAAUAAAUCAUGUAAAGCCCAACUAAAUAAAAUUUCAGUCCAUAAUUUAAAAUUAGCCCAAGAAUAGAAUGAAUUAUUCUGAGCUUAAAAUUAAAUAAAACUAUGCCCAAGUGAUGAAUUAAACUGGCCCAAUAAAAUAUAAAUGGGAUUAGAAUAAUAACCCAUCAUAAAUAUAUGCAUCAGCCCAACUCCUUAAAUUAAUCGAGCCCAAUAGAAUUAAUGAGAAGGGCCAAUUAAAUAAAAGACUGGCCCAAUUCGAAUUUAACUGUGAAAGCCCAAGCUAAUAAUAAUAAGGAGAAAGCCCAAUCUGCUCCAAAAUUAGUAUUUAAAGGAAAAUGGCCCAAAAUUCUUUCUCUUUCAAAAAUUUUCGGCCCAAUCACUACCAGCCCAUCCAAAAUAAAAGAAAGCCCAAUUCUCAUUUAAAAGUGAAGCCCAAGUUUUAAAAUAAUCAAAGCCCAUUCUCUCUUUUUCUCUCACUGUCGGUCCUCUCUCUUAUCUCUCUCAAGGAGCCGAUCUCUCCCUCACUCUCUCGAUCCGUCUCCAGCCGAGGCAGGCGCCGCCGCCGCUGCCGGCGCGGCCGUGCCUGGCAGAGGGCGGCACACCUUGCCGUCUCACUCUUCUCUCUCUCUCAAGGAGCUGCUCGCCCCUUCCUCUCCAGCCUGCUCGCUCGGCGCCCCUCAAAAUUCGGUCGGUUCCACCUUCUCCGGCGGUCCAGCCAUCGUCCGCUAUCACCGGCGUCGACCUCCUACACGUCUAGCCAACGCCCCCUUUUCUCUUCAUCGCAGAGCCCUAAAUCGGACCAUGGAUCUGAAAUAUCAUCGUUGCCGCUGCUGCUACUCUUUCGUCCGAAAUCCAGCGAUUCAAUCGGCGCCGAUCGUUCUCUCUCUACGCGAGUUCUGCCGCCGCGUCUGCUGCUUCUGCAAAUCCGGCGAGGUCGCUGCACAAUCGGUCGGCGCGACCCUGUCUGCUUCUCUCUUACGCCUUCACCUCUCGAGUGAAUCCCUCAGAAAUCACACCAACAAGAGCCCUAAUUUCUCCUAUCAUAAAUCGCCGCCGCCGUUGAAGAACUGGGAUCCGGCGAACGUCGGCUGGCUCUCCGUCCACCAUCUUCUCUGCCUUUCUAUGUCUAUCCUCUCAAUUACAUAUGCUCGAGGAGAAAGGGCGAGCCCUAAUUUCUCCUCCACCCGAAAUCGUCACCGCCGCCGUCACUGAGCGACCAGCGAGCGGGGCCGCUGCUGCCGCCGCUGCUAGAUGUUCGGCGUAUCGGAGCAGUCACUCAUAGCCUCCAUCGACCCGUGUUGUUUUUCAACACCAUCUCUGUUCUCUGCCCAAACCUCUCAAGAAUUCGAUGGGGAAGGAACUCUCGAUACUUGGCAGUUGGCAGCAGGAAUUAACUUCUCUUCAUCUCCCUUUCUGGUGGUUGGUGUAUGAGAGAAGGAAUGAAGUGUUAGGCUGGUGCUUUAAUAAGUGAGUUGUUGGCUGUAAAGUUAAAGGAUUGGAGAUGGUGGUUGGCUGAGGGGAUGGUGCUGUCGUAGGGUGGCUGAAAAACUCUCUAUAGGUGGUACCUUGGCAUAGUUGAUCCAACUGUUGGAGGGGAAGGAAAGGAAAGGGUGAUGUGGCAGCUACUUCUUUGUGCACACACACACGUUUCAUUUUUUUCUUUCCUCCUUUUCUCUUUUCCUCCUUUUGAUAAAGUAGCAGGUAAAUUGUAAAAGGUGAUAGGUUGUAAAGUAGGCGGCUUGCAGCCCAUUUUUCUUUUUCCUUUUCUUAUUCUAUUCUUUUCUUUUGGUACUUGGUGUUGGUGUAAUUUAGAAGAUAGAAAUGGAGGUUGAUUGUGGUGAAUAAAUGAGAUAUAUUCGUAUAUCUCGGUGCUUUUGCAAUUGUAAUA